rnacentral:rRNA from 1 species
GUCGAGCGAAGCUUUUAAAGCGGAUCCCUUCGGGGUGAAACUUUAACUGUCUUAGCGGCGGACGGGUGAGUAACGCGUGAGAAACCUGCCUUUCACAAAGGGAUAGCCUCGGGAAACUGGGAUUAAUACCUUAUGAUACUCUUUUCCAGCAUUGGAGAAAAGUCAAAGCGCAAAGCGGUGAAAGAUGGUCUCGCGUCCCAUUAGUUAGUUGGUGAGGUAACGGCUCACCAAGACUGCGAUGGGUAGCCGGCCUGAGAGGGUGAACGGCCACACUGGAACUGAGACACGGUCCAGACUCCUACGGGAGGCAGCAGUGGGGAAUAUUGCACAAUGGAGGAAACUCUGAUGCAGCGACGCCGCGUGAACGAUGAAGGCUUUCGGGUCGUAAAGUUCUGUCCUAGGGGACGAUAAUGACGGUACCCUAGGAGGAAGCCCCGGCUAACUACGUGCCAGCAGCCGCGGUAAUACGUAGGGGGCGAGCGUUGUCCGGAUUUAUUGGGCGUAAAGGGUUCGCAGGCGGUCUCUUAAGUCAGAUGUGAAAGAUCACGGCUCAACCGUGGUAAGCAUUUGAAACUGAGAGACUUGAGUUAAGGAGAGGAAAGUGGAAUUCCUAGUGUAGCGGUGAAAUGCGUAGAUAUUAGGAGGAAUACCAGUGGCGAAGGCGACUUUCUGGACUUAUACUGACGCUGA